GUUUUCUAAGGUUAGUGGGAGCAGUCAAAGUCCUUAUCAUGAUUUGUAAGGAAUACAAGAGGCGGGGGAAGAGUGUCAUUAAAUUUCACUCUGAAUUUAACUCCGAUUACACCUCUUGUACACCAUACUGCACCAACUCUUAUAAACUUGGAAUGAAAAUGAUAGCAACCUAACCAAGAGCUAAUCCAUAAAACUGAAACUUCUAAUGAACCUAAUAAUCAACUCAGGAGGUCAUCUAGGUUUAAAAGCCUACUAACUUUGAUGAUUACAUAACCUCCCUAAUGAAGUUGAAAUGGAUUUUCGGAAAUGUUUAAUGAUCUUAUCUCUUAAAAUCAAGCCAUUAGUGUAAAUCAAUCAUCUGAAUGGAAUAAAACAGUUUUCUAGUAAAACUGAUUUUAUGUGUUCGUGUAACGUUUGGGAUUUGAUUGAAUUACCUAAGAGUGUUCAUAACUAAACCAAAUCCUGAUAUAAGCGUUAAGACACUAAGAAGCAUGAUUGAUUGUCAAAGGUCAUACUUAGGAAGAGAUAAAUUAUCAAAGUUUUCUUUGAGGAUCAUCACUAUUCUAGUAGCUUAUAAUAGUUUAAAGCUACAUUAGAUGAACACUAAAAGAAUUUUCCCUAACAAACUGGCUGACACAUUUACAUGUUCAUAAAACAACCUGAAAGUUCUAAACUGAAGGUUAAAGAACACUUUAUUUGUAAGCCAAUAAAAUCCAUGUAUGGGUUAAUGCAAACAUCAUAAUGUGAUGAAAUCUUAACGUAAUUAUUUUCAUCAACAACCAAGUGGAUUAAUGUGCCUACCUCAAGAUGAGUGGGAGCAACUAAGAUAAACUUGCCUAUAUAGAUGAUAUUCUUUUGACAAGUAUAUGUUACAUAAGUCAAAGCAUUGUUAACACAAACUUUGAUAUAAUAGAUCUCAGAGAUGUCUCUUAUGUAAUAGAUAUCAUAACGUACCGAGAUAGACCCAAUGGGACAUUAGUUUCGUUCCAUAAGUUUAACAUUAAAUGGGUCCUUACAUAUGUAACAAACAAUACUGCUUUCCUUAAGAGGAUAAUAGGAUAAAUGAGAUUAUUUAGUUACGCUUCAUUAAUUGGAAGCCUUAUGUAACUUUAAGUCUAUACUCGUUUAUAUAUUACUCACAUUGCAACACACUAGAUAUGUCUAGAUUAAUGUGAAGCAUCUAAUGGAGUAUUACAAUAUCUUUAAAAGAAACGAGAGACUACAAUUUGAAAAAGAAGUGAGAAUUAAAACCGGUUUAUUACUUUAGUUUUGUGAUGUUCAAAGAUGACAAAAGGUAAUUUCGGGUAUAUCUUUAUGUCAGCAGACAAAAUCUAUCUCAUGGAGGAGUCAUAAUGCACUGAUAUUAACAACCUAAGUUAUAACGACAUAGUAUAUUCACUAAAUGUUGUUGGAAAUUUAUCAGUGGACUCAUAAGUUUAUUAACUCCAUAUAAUUAAUGUUUUGAAGAAUUAGUGUGAUAAAGUCAGCUACCAUAACUCCUUGAACAGUAACAGUUCAAGAGGUGCUGCAUUAAAUUUCGAUACGCAAUUAAUUUUCGUUUAUGAAUGAAUUGAGGAAACUAAGUUUUGUAUCGAAUACAUUCAUGAUAUGCUUAAGGAUCCUAUAACUGAAGGGCUAUUACCCAUAAGUCUUAUUAAGAGAGCUCAUAGACGGGUAUUAAUUAAUGGCCAUGCGCAACUGCAUAUCUUUGAUUUUGUACGUCUCUAAGAAUAUGUCAAGUCGACAUAAUGGCAUAUAGACAAAUAAAGUUACAAAUCAAACAAAGGGCUUAUGCGUAUUUUGAUCAUAACGAUUAGGUUUUAAAUUAAGGCUAUAGUAUGAUUAAUGGGGGUCCUGAGUCGCAUAAUGAUUCAACGGCUGUAUUUCUCUGCUAUAGUACUUGUUUAAGGCUAAAAUGAGUAUUAACUCCUGAUCAGGCUUAUCUAAUACUCAUAGUAAAUGAUUACUCGGCUAAGUGGGAGAAUGUAAGAUUAAAUAUAUUAUUUUAUAUUUAAUCUAGUAGCCAUUAUAAUCAUUUACAUUAUAUGGAUCAAAAUAUAUAACAAUCCUAUUAAAUAAUUAGUUGGUAAUUGUUGAUGGGCCUCAUUACCCUUAUUAACUAAUUAGGGUUUCCUCCUGGGUGCAUAUAUAAGGAGAAUAAUGUGGAGGUUAAAGGGUUAGACAAUUUCAUAAACCCUAAUAGCACAUAACAUCAAUCGACCUCCUCUCCUAACCGAUUCCCUUUUAUCGGUUACUUAUCAUCACCAUCAUUAGAUUGCACCCUAAGGAGGAGCCAGACCAAGAUGACAAUCAUGUCAAAACUUAUUGCUGUGUCUCCAUUUGGAUUCUCCGUUGGCCUGUACUGCUGCAAUCAGGUAUGUUUUCAUGUUUUCCUUUAUGUCUAAACAGAACUGAACCAACAAUAUCAAGACCUACAAGAGGGCAUGGGUAGACAAGUGAGAAUAGACAUAAAUGAUCAUAUGCUAAAAAGUAUAUGGAUAUUAAUAUAAUUACCUUAUGUUUAACACUCAAAUCAACGUGUUCAUACUUGGGAUCAGCAGAUGCAGCAGCCUGUUUGAACCAAUUAACAUGAUUAACCAGUUGAUCGACAAAUAAUCCACUUUCGGAGUGAUCUUUGUACCGCGGUUCAACAGGAUCACCUUGCUGCAAUAGUUAAAACAACGCCAAAUAUGCAAUUUAAGUAUUACAAACGGAUGUAUACAUAAGAGAAGCAUCUCCUGUUUCUAGAGCACAAUUAAGUCAUAGAGACAUUCGAUAUAUUUCCUUAAAGAAGGCAUAGAUACCUCAUGACACUUAAGGUAACAUGACUCAUUUACA
rnacentral:lncRNA from 1 species